rnacentral:rRNA from 1 species
CCUACGGGAGGCAGCAGUGAGGAAUAUUGGUCAAUGGGCGCGAGCCUGAACCAGCCAAGUCGCGUGAGGGAUGACGGCCCUACGGGUUGUAAACUUCUUUUAUAGAGGAAUAAAGUUAGGCACGUGUGCCUUUUUGUGUGUACUUUAUGAAUAAGGAUCGGCUAACUCCGUGCCAGCAGCCGCGGUAAUACGGAGGAUACGCGCGUUAUCCGGAUUUGUUGGGUUUAAGGGGAGCGUAGAUGGGUGGGUAAGUCAGUUGUGAAAGUUUGCGGCUUAACCGUAAAAUUGCAAUUGAUACUGGCAGUCUUGAGUACAGGAGAGGUAGGCGGAAUGCGUGGUGUAGCGGUGAAAUGCUUAGAUAUCACGAAGAACUCCGAUUGCGAAGGCAGCCUACUAAACUGCCACUGACAUUGAGGCUCGAAAGUGUGGGUAUCAAACAGGAUUAGAUACCCGGGUAGUC